UACGGGGGGGGCAAGCGUUGUUCGGAAUUACUGGGCGUAAAGGGCUCGUAGGCGGCCAACUAAGUCAGACGUGAAAUCCCCAGGCUCAACCUGGGAACUGCGUCUGAUACUGGAUGGCUUGAAUCCGGGAGAGGGAUGCAGAAUUCCAGGUGUAGCGGUGAAAUGCGUAGAUAUCGGGAGGAACACCCGUAGCGAAGGCGGUACUCUGGGCCGAAACUGACGCUGAGGAGCGAAAGCGUGGGGAGCGAACAGG
rnacentral:rRNA from 1 species